CACGUACCUACCUACAUAUUUGAUUUUUUCCCUUCCUUUUCUUCCUUUCCUUUUUUCCUCCUUUCUUCUUCUUCUUUUUUCUUUUUUCGUUUUUCUCUUCCGUUUCUUUUUCAUUUUCUUAUUCGACUGGUACGACUACACGCAUCGAUCACCAUCAUUGUAUACCUACGAGAGAGAGAGGAUACGUUACCUCCUCCGACGGUCGUCGUCGUUAUCGUCGUCGUCGUCGCCGUCGUCGUCCUCCUCCUCGUCGUAGUAGUUCUUACACCGUAAUUGUGAUAAACGUCGAAGAAAGAAGAAAUCCUUGUUAAAGAGAAGAAAACAGGAUAACUUGGUGAAAUUAGGAAUACAGGG